CAGCCGCCGCGGUAAUACGUAGGGUGCAAGCGUUAAUCGGAAUUACUGGGCGUAAAGCAUGCGCAGGCGGUUAUAUAAGACAGAUGUGAAAUCCCCGGGCUCAACCUGGGAACUGCAUUUGUGACUGUAUAGCUAGAGUACGGCAGAGGGGGAUGGAAUUCCGCGUGUAGCAGUGAAAUGCGUAGAUAUGCGGAGGAACACCGAUGGCGAAGGCAAUCCCCUGGGCCUGUACUGACGCUCAUGCACGAAAGCGUGGGGAGCAAACAGGAUUAGAUACCCCCGUAGUCCCUGUCUCUUAUAC
rnacentral:rRNA from 1 species